UGGGGAAUAUUGGGCAAUGGGCGAAAGCCUGACCCAGCGACGCCGCGUGGGCGAUGAAGGUCUUCGGGUUGUAAAGCCCCGUCAUGCGGAAAGAACGACCCUGAGACGCAUACUCUCAGGGCGUGACGGUACCGCAGGAGGAAGCACCGGCUAACUCCGUGCCAGCAGCCGCGGUACUACGGAGGGUGCAAGCGUUGUUCGGAAUUAUUGGGCGUAAAGGGCGCGUAGGCGGUAAUGUAAGUCAGAUGUGAAAUACUCCGGCUCAACCAGAGAACAGCAUCUGAAACUGCAUAACUAGAGUACAGAAGGGGGAAACGGAAUUCCCGGUGUAGAGGUGAAAUUCGUAGAUAUCGGGAGGAACACCAGUGGCGAAGGCGGUUUCCUGGUCUGAUACUGACGCUGAGGCGCGAAAGCGUGGGGAGCAAACA
rnacentral:rRNA from 1 species